rnacentral:misc_RNA from 1 species
GAUGAAGAACGUAUCGAAAUGCGAUACGUAGUGUGAAUUGCAGAAUUCAGUGAAUCAUCGAAUCUUUGAACGCACAUUGCACCUCUCGGUAUUCCGGGAGGUAUGCCUGUUCGAGCGUCAUUUGUACCCUCAAGCUCUGCUUGGUGUUGGGUGUUUGUUCCGCCUCUGUGUGUGAACUCGCCUCAAAACAAUUGGCAGCCGGCGUACUUGUUUCGGAGCGCAGCACAUUUUGCGAUCCAGAUCAACGUACAGCGGCAUCCAAGAAGCCUUAUUUAACGCUCUUGACCUCGGAUCAGGUAGGGAUACCCGCUGAACUUAAGCAUAUCAAUAAGCGGAGGA